UAAAGGUAAACAUAGAGGGGAUAUGAUAUUUUAAGUAAGAAUUUAAGUUUCUUUUUGUGGUACAUACAGAACUUACUAGUGAUGGAUGUGAUAUUCUAGUAGUGCAAUGACUUGAAAGCGCAAUCUCGUUUUCGUUUUUUCUAUAGGGGAUGUGAUAUUUUAGGCGGAUGUAAUAUUUUAUUACAAAUCUCGUUUUGAGUUUUUCAUAGGGGGAUGGAAUAAUUCAGGCGGUGGGAAUAAUCUACUACAGUUCCACUCAUCAUGUGGACAUUGAAGUUGAAUCAACUUCUCCUUCAAACACAUCGAAAAACAAGAAAAAUGAAAUUCAAUCUUCCAGUCUAUAUAAUAAACCUGAAUCACUUAACAAUGAAACAGACAAUUCAUCUGUUUCAUCUGACGAUGAAUCAACAAAUCAAGAAAAUGGCGAUGACAAUGAAUGGGACAUUGUUAAAGAUGAUGAGCAGAAUUGUGAUUUUGUUGAAAAAGUCACUAAAAUAAGUGAUCGAAGCAUUUGUUCAAUAUUUGAUAAUCAGAUCAGAGAGUCCUUUAGAAAUCAGCACAAAAAAAGCAGCAUUGAAAAUCGACCUUUAGAGCAUCCAAAGCUAUUAAGACAGGAGGAUUUUCCUGUUGAGAUAAUAAACUUUCAAUAUCGUAUGCUGUAUUUAAUCACCGAUACAAGAAAUGAAAUAAAAAAAUAUGUUGAUGCAGAAGUACAUAUCUACUAUAAAUGCAGAAGAUGCUGAUUUAAUAAAUAAAGCAGAAACGGUAAUUGAAGGACGUUUACAAAAUACUGACUUCGCAAGGAAAGUUCGUAAAUCUCUAGAAACAAUGUCACUUUCUUGUAAGUCUGCAAAAGAACAUGUUCGAACUAUUAUUAAUUCUGUAAUGUCAUUGCCAUUACAAGAAAAAGUAAACGUUCUAUAUGGCAAUAAUGUUCCAAAAAAGAAUUAUGUCGACCAUAUAUCUAUGUCACGUGAGUUGCCCUUACUCUUAUCAUGUAUUGUGACUGCCGUUGUUAAAAAAUUUCCAACAAUUUUUUCAGAAAUUGAUGGACAUUUUUUAACAACGGCAUGGACAUUUCAGAGUACUUAAAAAUUUCAAAGAAAAGAUAUAGAGUGCAUUUAGAUUGAUAAAACUUUAUUCUCGUAUUUAGAAAGCUGUCUUAUUUUGUUAUUAUUGUUUAGUUUAAAUUGAAUUACAGUUUGCUUUUAGGUUUGAAUAAAUUUACUUGCUGAGCCUAACAUUCAUCUUAUUUUAAGAGUCAAUAAAAAAACCAUGAAAAUUUUAAUAAAGUAAUUUGUUGUCUUAAUAUUAAGAUUCUUAAUGUUAUUGUGUUUUAUAGGUAGAUUUUAUAUGUUUUAAAAGUGCACAAACAAUUUUAGGUAAAUAUGUGCUGGAGUUAUGUUAUAUUGAUUACAUCUGUUAUGUUAUAUUUUGUACAUAUGUUAAAAUAUGUUGCUAUUAUACCAGUGUUUAUUUUUACCAGAUUUUUUCAAUACAUGUUUUAAUGUCAGCAAAAAAGUAUAGGGGUGGUUUACACAUCAUUUUCACAGGAAAUUUUUAUAAGUAAAUUGCCAAAAAGAUUGUUAAAAGUUAAGUUUGCGUAAACAAAACUAGUAGAACGUCUUCUUGUACUAGUAGUUUCUUUCACGUGAAGAUAACUGCUAAAACACCCAAAAAGUAUUAUCUGGUUAUUAAAUUUAGCGCCUUUGCAUUUACCUUCUUGUACAGGAACAAGUCAACCCUGUUUCACGAUGAAAAUACAUUACAUAGUAUAUAUGUUUUAUAUAGCAAAUUAUAGCAAGAAUUGGCUACCAAACUAUCUGGUAUUUUUAUUCGUUAUUUUUAUGUUAAGUUAGUUUUUUAAAUGGGCCAUUUUUUACGGUCAUGUGUAGUUGUACCUCCAAAUCGUUUAUUACAGCCUCAAGCUGAACUAUUGCACCGAUUUAAAGAAAAGUCCUAAUGCUACCCCCUAGUAAGAUAUCUUUGUUGAUAUAUUAUGCAAGUCGUAAAAGUAAAGGAUUUGCCUGCAAAUAACGAAAAAAUAGACAUGGCAAUGUCAAUUUUAGCAGUUUUCCCUCGUCUUUAAUAUCGAAGUUAAAUUAACGGAAUCAGGCUACGAUUUGAAAAUGGAACCAUGGAAAGUGGAAAGUUAGACCACAUCACAGAAAACUUGUUGGUUUAGAGAAUUGUGAAGUGGAACGUAUGCUCCGAUCAGUGGCGGAACUACUGGACGCAGGACCCUGCGUUGCGGGGGGUCUACCAGCUAUAGGGGGCCCUCAUAUAAAAAAAGUUAUACUCUCAAUAAUAUUUAUACUAUAAAACUCUUUUCCGCAAAAAAAACAUUCUUUUGCGGGGAGGCCCAAAUUUUGAAGUUCCGCCACUGGCUCCGAUAGUAUCGUCCAACAUAUCUGAACCAAGACGAGUUGCUUGACAUGCCCUAACCACUAAAGCAAAUGCAGUUCUUAUUUUAAAACGAUAUCCAUGGUGUUUAAGAUAUAAAAAAACUACAAGUUAUUUAUUAAAAUGUUUUACAGUUUUGUAUGUUUUACAGUUUUACAACAAUAUGUCUAAUAAAAUUUAUUAAAUGCUGCAUAUUUUAUUUGUGUGGAUUUGUUAUUAAUAAAGGUUCCAUGUUAGAUAAUCUAUAUUUAAUUGCUUUUUGAAUGGUGUUAUAUGAAAUACACUUAUAU